UGGGGAAUUUUGGACAAUGGGCGCAAGCCUGAUCCAGCCAUGCCGCGUGUCUGAAGAAGGCCUUCGGGUUGUAAAGGACUUUUGUCAGGGAAGAAAAGGACAGGGUUAAUACCUCUGUUUGAUGACGGUACCUGAAGAAUAAGCACCGGCUAACUACGUGCCAGCAGCCGCGGUAAUACGUAGGGUGCGAGCGUUAAUCGGAAUUACUGGGCGUAAAGCGAGCGCAGACGGUUACUUAAGCAGGAUGUGAAAUCCCCGGGCUCAACCUGGGAACUGCGUUCUGAACUGGGUGACUAGAGUGUGUCAGAGGGAGGUAGAAUUCCACGUGUAGCAGUGAAAUGCGUAGAGAUGUGGAGGAAUACCGAUGGCGAAGGCGGCCUCCUGGGAUAACACUGACGUUCAUGCUCGAAAGCGUGGGUAGCAAACAGGAUUAGAUACCCUGGUAGUCCACGCCCUAAACGAUGUCAAUUAGCUGUUGGGCAACUUGAUUGCUUAGUAGCGUAGCUNACGCGUGAAAUUGACCGCCUGGGGAGUACGGUCGCAAGAUU
rnacentral:rRNA from 1 species